GAAGAUCCGGCGCAGCUAAAGUCAGUGGAAGGUAGAAAGACGCCACAGCCGCCUUUCGACAACUUUUUGUUACAAAAGUGGAGAUCUACACGGAGGCGACGGCCUAGGUCGCUCUGACAGGACCCAACGACCCUCCUGACGCGUCCACCCGUCCUCGCUAGCAGGGUCCCCCAGCGGGCUCUCGACCUGCGCCACCAGAGUUCCACUCUUUUUGUCGACAAUAAUAUGGCGCCCAAACACGUGGGGCCUCAGAGAAGACUCUGGAUCCGGAAGGAGUAUCCCAAAACCAGAGCUAAGGUACCAGCUGGAGCCCACUGAAGCCUCACCGAGUUUGGGCUUCUCCUCCUGUGGAACUGGAAACCAAAAUCAUGGUAUUUUGAAAACCAGAGGUAUGAAUCUCCCUCGUUUGGCAUCCCACUGGGCCUGGACCUGUUUCACUGCUAAUGUUCUGCUGCCAAAACUAUACAAGCUGCCUGGACUAUUGCAGAAGAGAGACAGAGUCUUGCUCUGUUGCCCAGAAUGGAAUGCAGUAGCACAAUCCUAACUAAUCGUAACCUUGAACUCCUGGGUUCAAGCGAUCCUCCUGCCUCAGCCUCCUCAGUAUAGGACUACAGGCGUGCCCAGUUCAAAGUACCAACCUGGAGAAAAUGCCCUGGAUUUGGAAGCAAAGUAUUGAAUGUUGGAAGUCUGAAUAAAGGAAUCAUACACUGUAUGUGCACCUGAAUGUACUUUACAAGCAUCAGUAGAACACUUCUGAUUGAAGCUUGGUCUUAUGAAGAUAAAAAUUUUAUGUGGACCACAGAUUCUCUAAAAAUCAAUGCUUCCUGUCCUCAAACAUCGGACUCCAAAUUCUUCAGCUUUGGGACGGACUGGCUUCCUUGCUCCUCAGCUUGCAGACAGCCGACUGUGGGACCUUGUGAUCAUAAUACCACAGUCUGGAGGCUAUGAAGUCCAUGAUUAAGAAGCCAGCACGUUUGCUUUCUGGUUCCAAGAUGGCAUACCUUUUUGCUGCUUCCUCCAGAGAGGAGGAACACUGUGUUCUCACAUAGUAGAAGAUGGAAGGAGCAGAUGCAGAUGAGCAUGGCAAUGUGAGAAUAUGUCAGAGGCCCCAGGAUGAAAUGAGCUCAAGUCCCUGAAAUCCCUGUUAGAAGAGUCUUUCCACUGGUUGGGAAUGCUAAUUGUAUUUUGACAACUCAAUGUUUCAGCAACUCAAAAUGUUACAGCUUCUGCAUUGGAAUAAAAAAAGGAAAGAAAACAGAAUUUGUACUCAUAUCAGAAGGCAAUCAAAGAACAUACACAUAAUAUACAUUCUAUUAUAGAGGGAGAUGAAGAAGAAGUAUGGAAGAAGUAAGAUGAAGAAGAAGUAUGGAAGAAGUAAGUUGUCUGUGUAACCUCAUUCUUCCUGGACAUGGGACAAGAACUUGGGACCCGCUGAAUGAUGGGAGCAAAAGGAGCUGUAUCAUGUUCCUGGCCAGCUGGCUAAACUGCAGAUGGUGACAUGCUCCCAGACUGUGGGAGUGAAGAGUGGCAACCCUUCUGGCGGCCCAGACCUUAGCAUUUCCCAGGCAGAGCUGCUGUAAAACUGUAUCCCUCUUGCUCUUUGCUGGCACCAGGCGACUGGCCCACACAAUGGGAAGCAACAGUGGGGCCAGGCCAGCCCAGGAGGUGUGGGCCAGAGUGGGGUGGUGGGACUGAAAAAGCUGUUAGACAAAUGGGCUGAAACAUGCCCCAACUCUUGCCAUGCUGCAAGGGUUGAGGAGGGAAGAGCUGUCACCCUGCUGGGAUCCCAGAACUCAGGGCUCCCCAAGCCAGGAAUGUGCCAUGCUGUAACACCCUCUUUGGGGCUCUGGGGUUCCUGGUGUCUCCAAGCUUUUGAGUGUCACUGCAUUCUCUUUGUCAAGAUGCUGGUGCCCGCAGCAGAAGCUGCUUAUUGUACGUGUGGUCCAGCCACAGCCUUGCACAGAGCUGGCACCUGUGCUGGUGCCUGAAGCUGCCCCCCCGCUACAGAAAUGAGAAUUCCUGGCUGAGCACAGUGGCCAGACCUGUGCUUGCUUGCUUACACACCUUUUGCCCCUCCGUGCCUGGCUUGCCCUUUAGCAGGCAUGGGAUCCGGGCCAGAAGCAUGAACCAAGUGCAGCCUGCUGGGCUGAGUGGGCUGAACAAGCCAGCCAGUGUGAGUAAAACUCAAGCAGAGGUGCCACCAGCUCUAGAGGUUUCCAGUUGGUGAAGCGACACUCUAAGGAUCCUGUGACCCUCUCUCUCUUGAUGAUCUGAAAUUUCCAUCUCCAUGUAAUUAAAAAUAUAAAAAUACAUCCCAAUAACUUUAAUUUUGGCAGGUUAUGAAUGUGAAAUUAGGGCAUGGUGGCAUGCUCUUGUAAUCCUAGUAGCAUUUUGGAAGGCUGAGGCCACAAGUUCAAGGCUGCAGUGCGGAUUAAUUAUGAGCUCCUAAAUGAUAAAAUUACUGUUGUUAACCGUUAGAGAUGUUGGUAAUUACUAGCUAUGUUGAAAGAAUGACUAAAAAUGCAUUAAGCAUGAAAUCAUUAUUAAGCUCAAAUGGGGCAUAUUUAAAAGAGGAAACAUAGACAUCAAAAUAAAGAAAAGAUGUAGUUGAUAUGUCUUAAAUUUGCUUUUAGUUUUGUAUGUUUUCCUUUUGAAAUGAUAAAAAUAUAUCCAAUAAAUAAAGUUGAUAACUCUCCUUUGCUUUUGUCAUAUAUAAUAAUUUUUCCAGAUAAACAGUUUGAUUGUGCAAAUACCAUAGAAUUCUAGGCAGUGAAUCAAUUUAUUCAGGUUUCAUUUUAAAAUGCUUUGUUAGUAUAAGACAGGUAAUAUAUACUUGUGUAUUUUUUCCUCCUUUGUGUCAAGAGCUGUAUAACUGAUUAAUUGUGCUAAUUUAUUAGCUUUAGAACCAUGCAGAAAGAAGAGUGCUUCACAGAAUGAUUGCUUUAUGAAGCAUAAGGAGAAACAGAUGAACAUGUGAACAGUGAAAGAUCUUUUCCAUGGAACUGUGUUCAUCCUCUGAUUAAAACGAAUUGUGUAAAGUUGUAUAUUGUAUUUCACCCUUAGCAUUUGGAAAUGUGCAUGUAAUUUUGGUUUUGGUGCUUCAUUACAAUAAUGCGUAGAAAGAAAAAAGGUAUUUAUAGAAUAUUGCAAAAGCAAAUUUGUAGGAUAAAAUAUGUCUGGCCAUGUGUAUUAGAUACUAGUUAACUCAUAUCAUUACUUCAUUGGUACUUCACUAAAUUAUGUCACAAAAGCAAAUACAGGAUUUUCCAGAGCAUGCUUUUGGAAAAAUCUGAAGUUUUAUUGAGGACUCAUUAAUUUUCCCUGUCCCAUAACUUACAAUUUAUUUCACAAGCAUUAUAAACUUCAGAUCAUUCAGAUAUUGCAUUUUAGUAUUGUAAAUUAUAAGAAUAGAUUUAGAAUGCAUACUUUUUGAGGAUAGGUUGCUUUCCUUAAUGAAAGUAUCAUAUUUUUAGUUUACAGUGAAAUUUAAAGAAUGGUUUAUUAUUUGAGCUACAAUUGCAAAAACUUUAGAUAAUACAUUUAAACUUGGCAUUAGAAAGAAAAAAACUUUCUAAAUAGAAAAACUUUUCAACUUUUCUAUUUUUCAACUAGAAAUUUAUACAGUUAGAAUGUUUUUAAAGAAAAAGUUUUAUCUGUAAGGGAAGUGCUUACUGCCAACAUAUUUCACCAAAGCUUAAAUUCUCAAGAGGACAUGUCAUCCUUAUAAGCAAACCAUUCUGAUUACAUCAAUCACAUUAUAUUACCUUGGGUGACUGACUUGCAUGAGAAACCAGCAGUUGUGACUUGAAUUGCAAUAUGCAAGACAGUAAAAACCAUAUUUUACUUUAAAAUAUAUUAAUGUAUUACUUUUCCUAAUAAAAUACAUUGAAAAUUUUUAUCAGUAGCCAGGAAAUUAUAGAACUAGGCAGUUGUAUUCCUGAAGCACUUUCAGUGUUCAUGAUAAUUAAUUUGAGAAGUAGACUCUUAUCACACAGUAGCAUCUGUUGAACAUUCUUGUUUUUGGUAAAAUUAAUUUCUGACUGAUUCAUGAAAUAAAUGAUAAGGAACAUAAAUUCAGCUCUUUACUGUAUGACUCAUGUAACCUAUGACUUUUUGGGGGAAGUUUCACAUAAUGGGAAUACAUUAAGAAAUGUUUUAAAUAAAAACACAUAUAACUAA
rnacentral:lncRNA from 1 species